UACAGAGGUCCCGAGCGUUUGUUCGGAUUCAUUGGGCGUAAAGGGUGCGUAGGCGGUUUCCUAAGUUUGAUGUGAAAUCCCGGGGCUUAACCCUGGAAUUGCAUUGAAUACUGGGAGACUAGAGUACUGGAGAGGAAACUGGAAUUUACGGUGUAGCAGUGAAAUGCGUAGAGAUCGUAAGGAAGACCAGUGGCGAAGGCGAGUUUCUGGACAGUUACUGACGCUGAGGCACGAAGGCCAGGGGAGCAAACGGG
rnacentral:rRNA from 1 species